AGUCGGAAGAAAUCUUUGAUGAGUGGGUGUCCAAGCUCCGUCAUCACAGAAUGUAUCGGCAGAAUGAGAUCGCCAUGUUUCCCCAGGAUGUCAAUCACUUUUUCCCAGGGUCUGUCACAGACUCUGCCCCAGGGGUGUUUGACACAGUUUCCAGCCGGAAGCGGAGUAGUAUAUCAAAGCAGAAUUCAUUUCAAAUGGGAAGCAACUUAUCAUUUUCUUGUGGUGACACACGAGGUCCAUUCUGGCUGCAGUCUUCA